rnacentral:tRNA from 1 species
AGCAGCGUGGCUUUAGUGGAAAGAGUCUGGGUUUGGGAGUUAGAGGUCGUGGGUUCAAAUCCCAACUCUGCUA